rnacentral:lncRNA from 1 species
CCAAAUAGAAGAGCGAACGUGAAAAGAACAAAAGAGCAAGUGGGUAAAGAAUAGAGAUAAGGAUGCGUGAAGAAUAGAGACAAAUCUGGACAGAAACUCAGUGGGAAGAACAAAGACGAAUCUGGACAGAAAACCCAGCAAACAAGUUUAAAGAUAGUCGAAGAUGAGAUCUGAGAAUGAAUGAAGGACCUGACCAUAGACUGAUGCGCGAACUCAACAUUCGAACAAAUGAAUCGAUCUGAAGAUGACUUUCAAAUGAAUGGAGAUGCGUGGACGGGUUCAAUCUGAGCAAAGACAAAUGACUGAAUCAACUAGAGACUAGUAUGCAAAUGGAAUGAAAGCUUGAGUGAAUCGAUCUGCACGAGAAAUAGAGAUAGAUCUGCACGAAUUGAAGAGAAGUUUCACUGUAGCCAAAAGAUUGGUCUGGACAAAGACAAACUGAUCCGCAAAUCGAACUGAUGCACGAAGAUGUUGGUCUAGAUGAAGACGAACGGAAUAGGAAGAUCUCGUCUUCACCGGCGAGUUUCACAGUAGGGAGGAGCGACGACGACGACUACACAGGAUCUAGGUUAGAAAGCUCUGAUACCAUGUAGUUUAUUAUUGAGUAAUAAUUUAAUUUCUUGAUAAUUUUCAAUAAUACAAGUGUAAUUAUACACAAAAUAAUGCAACAUUUGGAGAGAAUAAAUACAAUUAUAUUUUUAAAAAAUAUAACCAAACUACCCUAAUUACUGUAAUAGAAUGGAAGAUUGAAACCAUAUAGUUUUUACUUACCCUGACAUUUGUCUCUAUCUGGACUAGAGAAGGUUUUGUACACUUUCAACUGCAAGAAAAUCGUGUGGAUGAUUCCUAAUGCAAAUGUCUAUGUAGAAAUAGCCAUCAAUUAAUGGAGGCAUUAUAAUCUUAACCAACGGUGAUAGCCUGAUAGGUUCAAAUUCCACCCAACAUAUUAUUGAACAUUUUCUUUUUUCUUUGUUUUAGUACAAAAGGGGUGGAGGUACGUGGGUUUGAACUGCAGACCUUUAGAGGACUGCAUAUUUAGUUAUGUAGUUUGCUUUUAUGAUUUUCAUGCUAGCUACCCUUUUGGAAGUUAAGUGGUUGAAUCUUUAAAGAUGAAUGAUCGAGAUUUAAGUGAAAUGAAUAAGGAAGAAAAUCUUUAAAGACAAGUGAUUGAUAAAUAGUUUUAUAUUUCAUUAUUUUUUGUCUCUUCUUCUGCCUCGCCAGUUUUUUCAAUAUUUUUUUUAUGGUUCAACCUAAUGGGACAUGCAUGUAUAUAAUUUCUUUGGUCAACUGAGUUAAGUUGACAACCUCUCCCGUCUAUUGAUUUCUUUCAUCAAUGUAAAAAAAUUCCAAUAAUAUAUCUGUUUGCCUAACCAUUUAACAUAAAAACUACUACAAACCACAACAAGACCAAAUUGGAUCUCACAUUGCAUUGGAAAACUGAAGAACAAAAACUCUAGAGAAUGAACUACUUUGGUAAACAGGAUGUUUAAUUUCUCAUAUCAAAGAUUUGUAGUUACAUUACCAUUUUGUUUUGUACUAUUGUGUGAACCUUCUUUUUACUAUGAGGCAUUUUAUCUCCAUAACACUACAAGAAAUAACAUUUUCGAUACCUAACGAAAAAGGCUACAAUAGACUUUUUAUAGCCUUUUUUAAAAAUCCUGACAGCCCAUG